CUUUGGCUCCUGGGGCUCCACCUGCAGCCCACAGGGGCCUGGAAGUGCCGGGGGACCGUGGUCCUGAACACCCAGAGACUUGGCAGAACAUCAGCUGAUGCUGCUCCCUUUAAAACACUUUUGACUGCUCUCUGGUUUAGCUACUGUUCAUUAGUUGAUGCUGAAACUGUUCUUACUGAAGUUUGAUUGAUAGCCUUAGACUGCCUUCUGCUUCAAAUUGAGGGUGACACCAUUGACUCUCCUGGUUCUCAGACCUCUGGAUAUGAGAUCUCUGGUGCAACUCACUCGACUUGCACCAAACAUUCUUAAAAUGUUUAUUGGGGUCAAGUGCAAUGGCUUGCACCUGCAAUCCCAGCGCUUUGGGAGGCCAAGGCAGGAGGACUGCUUGAGGCCAGGAGGUCAAGACCAGCCUGUACAACAAGACAGUUUGGCCAGGAAGUGACCGGCAAUGGAAAGAGGGAAAUAAUCAGCACAUCCCCAUGUGCGCCCAUCUCAGAGACACAAACUGAAUAACAACUCACUUGGCUUCAUAACCAAGACCUACUCUGAGGAAUUUCAUCUCUUCCUUGGAGACCUUGAUUGGCCUGCUAGGUUAAAGGCAUUUCACUAAAUUCUUGGAGGAGUCUGAGAGAACUUGGGGGCGCUUGAGGAACCCAAAGGUGUGAAGUAAAGGCUGGAAACCAAGAUUGCUGGGAAAGUUCAGAGAAAGUAGAGAUACUCCAUUUGAUGGAGAUCACAUGUAAGGGUGUCUACUCUGAGAUCAAAGGCAACCUAUAGCAAUUUAUGAGAAAUGAAGGAAGUGGGAGAGAUGCUAAGUUACUUUAAGGGGUGUUCUGAAAUCAUGAAUCUAGCUGGAAUAGCUGGUGUCAGCUGUGUCCAGAAGAGCUGGGACAAGUAGAGACA
rnacentral:lncRNA from 1 species